UGUGGGAGAUAAACAAAAUAAAGCCAGCAGAGUGGUCAAGCUGGCCACAAACAAGUGCACCGUUAGGUUUGACUUCGUGGCUUGGGCUGGUUGGUCAAUGGGUGUUUUGUGCUCUGUCUCUGAGGCCAGGAGGGUGUCUGCUGAUGAGAUUCAUUAGCACAGAAGGAAACAACGUGGUAUUGUACUUGCUUAGCUUUUGCCUACCCGCAGACAACUUGGUAGUAGAAAGGUUAUAAGCCUUUGAGGAAGCUUGGCUCUGUAGGCUGUCUGUGCUGCUAUGCGGAUAACUUAUAGUCAGCAGGUAUCUUCAGGACAGAGCCUUUCUAAUGCAGCCUAUUGCACGGAGACAACAGGUUUCAUCAGUGCUGAUGUUCUGAGAAAACGUGGGCGAAAGAAGAGCCAGACUGAAACGAAGCAUAGAAGGAUAGACGCAGAACUGCUAGAUCUUCAGCUGCGCAAGUGCAAUAAAACACUUGUAAAUACCCCAGAAUGAGGAUCGUUACAGAUGGCACUGACAAGCACCAGGUUCACGUGGAAGUCCUUGUAUCACUGCAUGAAGGAAAAAGAAGAUAGGAAUGAUAAGCCUGAAGUUUUCCUGAGCUGUGUGACAGGUGUGAGCAGAUGAAGUUUAUAAGCAUGGGAUGUAAAUGCUGGUUGAAAUACUACGAGUGCGCGUUUUCCUUUGGUGAGAAGGCCAAGAAGAUUGCUGAUCAGUGCUGUCUGUCAAGCCAUACUAGAAGGGCUCUGAGUGCUUCACAUUGCACUUGAUACCCGAGCAGAGAAGGGGCAGGUAGAAGCUAAAAGGGUGCAGGUCCCCUAGGCACCCACCUGUAAAGACACUCCAGGCAGACCAAUCCAUGCCUUUCUUCUCUCAUUCCGGCUCUGGAGGACAGAUCUUUACCAGGAGCCUUCUGUCAAACAGCGUUGGAUGGCUGAAUAUUCAUGUGCAGCCUGUUUUUGGAGCCAGCGUGAGCAGAGCUGUUGAACUGCUAAUGGCAGUUGAAAGUGUUAAUUUUCACACUGAGGUAAAACAUCCCAAAUUUUGGAGAUUUCGCUGGAGUCAGGGCCGAAGUUCCCAACAGCUUUAAAGUGUGCAUUUGUGAAAUGCGGAGUUUGAACACUAAGUCCCUCUUAAAAUGCUUUAUUUCAUCUGAAAAUCUCAGACUUGGUGUUGCUUUGUCAAACUCAACUUUUUUUCCCCCUCUUAGAGAGCUUGACUUCCUAUUGCAGCUUUGUUUAGUUGAGUUUAUGCAUUCUUAGCUCUAACAUUAUACAGUCCGACUGGGAAUCGUGUAGUCACAGUGGGAGAUAGGAAGGAGCAGAGUAAUUUAUUCUUUAAACAAUGGGAUCAUCUGCAUUUGAGUGCAAGUUAGUUAAUAAAAGGGGUUUUAGUGGAAUAAUAAUAAUAAGAGGAAUUUUGCCUGGGUUUUGCCUGGAAAUAGUUGGGGAUGGGGAAUAGAUGGGGAAUGUGGCCCUCAAGUUGUGCCACAGAGAGUAGCUUCAUCUUCUGUAAGCAGCUACCCUGGUCACUCUUGCAUCCUUGAUGGAUGCAUCCUUAGGGAACUCGUGUCACAUCCUCUGUGCUGCGAUGAACUGGGCUGCUCUGCUUCUUCCCUGGCAAAGCAAAGGGAAGGGUCUGUCUCUGCGUGCUUGGGAGAAGAGUGGAAUAGAAACAGACUGGGAAGGCCGGAGGGCUUUGACCAGAUCCUAGAACAAAACGGAGUGGAUAAUUACUGCUGGCAAAAAGACUGAACCGCAUGAUACUGUUUAACCUGAGAUGAGCCCAUGCUAGGACAAGCAGCAAUUCCAGCUGUGUUUAGAAGCCAAAUUAGGUAUUGAGUGGUGCCUAGUAGAGAUAUGCUAGGUGCAGGGAAAUUAGUGGUCUGACUCCCCUUAGCAUGAGCUGGGGCAGGACUUGACCUUGGACCUGCAGUGAGUACUGUGAGAGUUUCUCCUGGCCUGUAAACCAAGUAACCGAGCGUUAUUACGUACACGUGCACACAAUAGUGCUUAGAGCCUUUCUGCUGAGGUCUUUCCUUGGGGAUCCAUAUAAAAUACUUCUCACAAAAGCUGCCCUGUGCGCAAACAGAGGAAACUCCAUCUAGUGACGUAAAAAGAAAAGCCAACAAAACCUUUUCACACGUGUAUGUGCAUUACCUCUUAUCUUACUGCCAGUCUGUUGAAGAUAUCAGUCCAGCUACGCAGCGCUCACCAUAUGUGAGACUUAAAGUGCUGCCUGGGAAGCACUUCCAGGCCCUGUUUUGUAUUCUGCCAUUGCAAGCAAAAAUGUCCCCUUUGUCAUGUCAGUGAAUGAAUAUUCUUGUUCCCCUUUCUCCUUGGAUUUAUGUCAACCCUGAGUUUCAACCGAGUUUGAUCUCCUUGCUUUAUUGUAUUGCAAACAGUAGUCAAUAGCUCUUCGGCUUGAGAUUGCCUGGAUUUAUUUUCAGGUCAAGUCAACUCUCCUUGACCCACAUCUGAACCAAAAUACAUUCCCAGAAGAUUCCCCCCACAGGAUAUCGGUUCCAAAGACAGAGUGACAUUGUAAUGAGUUCAAGGUUUCAGUUCAGUACAACAGAGUCCCUGUUGGUGUGGGGAAGGCAAGCAAGCCAUCCUUCUUGUCUCAGAGCUGAGACCUCUCCUGGGGCUUUUCAGAGCAUAUUUUGUCAUCCACUGGUUACUGCUCUUCAUAGGACAAUGCCAUUGAUUGCAUCCCUAGUAUUUGCAGUCUCCUGACUGGUCUUGGUUCUGUGCACGUGCGUAUUCAUGGCUAUAAUGUGUGUGUGUGGGGAAUUUGGUGUGCAGGCUUUAAACAGCUGAUGGGUUGCUCUGCAUUCAUGAUUUUCUUUUUAAAUUCAUUUUUCUUAAAGAGAACAAAAAAUGGCAUCUCCUUUGGGGAACUGUCUGGCACACAGGCAAAACCAAAUGAUAUUGCAUCAUAAAGUAAAAACACUGCUUUGAAGAGCUGGGACAAAAAUGGAAUGAACUCAUGAAUUUAUCCUGGAUGAUAAAUCUUCCUUCAAAAGAAAGCAGCCUUAUGUUUAGUACAAAAGACUGUUUAUUUCUUCUAUGGAAAAAAAAGAAGUGGUGUAAUCGGAUAGGAUUAACUUUCCAAGGGGCCCUGGACAGAAGCUGAAGUAUGGGCUGCCUUCUUGUGCUCACAUUGGAUAAUUUGAGCUCUGGAGUAGUCUAAGACCCCUCUGGCUUCCUACAGCAUUUGGCUGUGACCAGCUGCCAGCAUGACUUGCACCUAUAGCCAGCAUUAAGAACCCCAGCAACAAGAGUUUCUAGAGGCAAAAGAAAUCCAAAGUGCUUGGCUGGUAUAAGCAGCUUGUCUCAGCUGGGAACCUGGCCCAGGUGUGGGUAGAAAUACAGCCUUAUUGGUGUUCUUCAUCUCAAGCAGCAGUUAAAUACGUUUUUAGCAAAUACCAAUAAUGUACGGCUGACUUAAUGUUGCAUUAAGAAUCUUUGUGGGCUGUGUGUUCUGACUUUGUUGUUUUGACCGUUGGUGGUUGAUGUUGCAUUCGCCCUUUUAAUUUCACCUACUCAAUUACCUAGGAACAGUCUUGUGCGUGCUUUUGUCAGCGGGAGCGAUGAUGCUUCCAAUUUCACACCUCAGUGGAAUGGAUGGGAAAGUUUUGGCUGAGAUAGCUGUGUAGGCAAAAGCAAAGAGGAAAGUGAGAGCCCAGUUUGCAUGUGUGUGCGCUUUUAUUUUUGCUAGAAGUCCCAGGCAAUCCGAGUGAUAAGCAAGCCCCUUCAUUAAACCUUUCUGAUGGACCAAGUUGAGUUCCCUGUGCUUGAGCUGGGUAAGGUUCUGACUUGCCCGUGUUGAAUUAUUGUGUGAGAGCUGUUAAACGGUCAUUGUUACUUUGUGUUGGUAAGUUUGGCUGUUUUACCCUUGUUCCUCCAGGUAGAAUAAUUUUGAUAGAAUUUGCUUUGAUAGAAUAAUUUGCACGGCAGUUUUUUGCAGGUAAAGGUCGUGGUCAUGAACAGUUACUGUAUGUUAACUUGUAUGCACCUUGAAGACCUUCCCAGAGCUAUUAUGAGAGCAGCUGUACAGCAGAACAACACUGAACCCGUUUGGGAUGACUGGACUCGUGCUUACGGAGCUGUGUGAAGUUGAUCUGAGCCAGUCUUGAAAAUAGAGGCAUGUGAAUUGGAGAUAUUUGGGAGAGCAGCUUUGCUUCUUGGCUAAUGCAGGCAAUUGCAUUUAGGUGCCCGGGGGUGAAAGGAACAUCCCUUCCCAGGUAUGAGGAUCCUAUGGUUCCCCCAAGGGAGGUCCUCUAGGUUACAAGAAAUUGGUUACAACCAGCGUGGAAAAAUUUACCACUGCUGAAAAAGUUUACAGCUUUACUGAUAAUUUUCCACUAGGUUUUUGAUUCACUGGAGUGCCUGGCACCAUCUUGUUUCAGUCUUGUGCAUCUGAUGCAAUACAAAAUGAAGAUACUUGUAGGAUUCUGAGAGGGAGCUGUCAUCUGGAGAGGAAAUGCGCAUAGCAGCGGAUUCCAGCGUUCUCCAUGCUUCAAGCCAACCUGGGGGAAAUUGGAACCUGCGUCUCCUAUGCAGCUGCCCUAAAGGUAGGGAGAAAGGGAAGAUUAGGUCCCAUUUGAAAGGAGUGGAAGACCUGUGCAGCUGAAGCAGGGCUAUAGUGAGCCCUUAUUUUGCAGCUGGCCUUCCAGUUCUACCCAAACCCUGAGAGCCUGGCAAUUUCUAGUGCUGAGCCCGGCAGCAGUCAGAGUUCCAAAGGAGCAUGCCAGAUAAUUCCCACCCAACAAACAUCAAACCUGUGGAGAACUUAGUUGUGAUGCAUUCGUUGUCUCACCUGCUGUCAGCGUUUGCUAGCAGGCUAGACAGCAUUCAUAAUGGGCCCAGUAAAAAAUUACCCUUUGUGUUCAUGUAAUAUUUCAAGGAACUGUGGCUCAAUUGGGGUGACCUUCAUUCUCAGCUCCCAUGCGUGGGCUUAGGUCCAGUAACUCCAGUCAGGCUCUGCUGACUUUCGGCAGCUGGGACUUGGGCCUUGCUUUUUAUGUCCCUUAUUCUAUGCUCAUGUAGUCAGUUUCCCUUGCCAAGAUUAUAUUUGCUUUCCUUCCUAAAGGACUGCUCUAAAUAUCAUGCUUUAAAACAAUGUGUCUUUUCUCCCCACAGAGAACAAUAUGAUAUGCCACUGUUGAAUUAAUAUGUCUAUGAAAAGUGAAUAUAAUCUCCCCAGUAGAUCCCCUUUCCAAAAGAUUUAUGAUUUAAUGAAUUUUUUAUUUCUUACCGGUGUGUAGCAUUCAGUCAUUUUACACCUAGCAGGAAUUUUUCCCAAGGAAGCAAGGCAAGGUGGAGAGGGGGGUUCCACCAUCCUGAUUCAAAUCCUUUUUUUCCCCUCUCUGCUCUGCUGUGCCACUUGUAACACUCAUUGCUGCUGCAGAUUCUGUCAGAAUCUACCCUUAAAAUGUGCAGGUUGUGAUGCUGGGCUGAGACAGUGCAAUAUGGAGAGAAGUUUGGAGCAGUGCUUAUAUAAAAACCAAUGCCUCUGAAGUCUUCGUUGCUCUCUGCUCGACUGCUCUAGGCAGGAUUUCUUGCUCAUAGUCCUACUCUAUCUUCCUUGUGGUCGUGGUCCAGUGCAUUUUCAAAUAAAUUGCUAUAAUGCCUCUGACAGUAGAUUAUGAAGCCACAAAUAACAUCCGCAGGUAACACCUUUAUUUAGUGGAAGAGGAGUUAAAGCAGAAGUGAGCUGUGAAGAAGAGAGCUGUUACAGAUAAUUAUUAGCUAUGUGGGUAAUAUUCCUAAUUAAGCCAGCAAUUGAUUUCUCUCUCUUAGCCUUGAAAAUGGGAAUUGAUUGCUCUGCUGGCCCUUCCCUUGGCUGCUAGGAUGCGUGCCGUACCUAUGCUUGGCUUUUGGGAAACUUGCUGGGGUCAGCGGCUGCAGAUCCUGCUGGGAUGGACAGAAAGUGCUGGCAGGGUGACUGGGCAAGGGGCACUGGCAUUAACCUCUCUUAUGCUGUGUCUUCAGAGGAGAAAGACAAAGAGCAGCUACAAUCCUGGGUGGCCCCAUUGAUUGAGACGCAUGUGAAGCGGUGCGUGCUUUAUAUUGUCUCCCUGAAUCAGCACUGUUCAUCAUCACUUGUCAAGAGGGGAAGUGAAACUGGACUGUGCCACAGUCACGGCUUGCUGGACAUUCCUUGUUUCCUGCCAUUUCUCAGAGGUGUCUCCAGAUUUCUUACAGAGCGAGGAACGUGACUGGCAGAGGACAGAGAACCUUCAUGAAGGAGAGAGGAAGUAUGACAGUUCUCUCUAUCUCCACUGGUCAGAGCUCACCCCUAUGUGUGUUUAUCUUCAGCGCUGAGCACAGCAGAGUGUUGAUUUCAUGCAAAGCCCUAUGCUGCCCACGGACAUGGAUAGCAGAGGCUUGUGCUGGGAGAAUCCUGCUGCUGAAGACAGCCUGCUUGCUGUCACCCUUCAAACCAAAAAGCGCAGCUGUGGAGCUGGAGGCUGGGGCUGCUGGCUUUGUCAAGCAGUUGCCUGAUGUUCAGGAUUCAGCCUUUAGAGUUUCUCUGCACUGCCUGCAGUCUGGGAUGGCAAACUCCAGGUGUCAAGCCGCGUUACAAUUGCUGAACAAGUUCUUGCUCGGUUCUCAUGGCGUAAAUCCACGUCCCAGGAGAGAAGGAAACUUGGAUGGGAUUUUCAGAGCCUGAUUUAGCCAAGGGCACACACUUAUUUUUAAACUGAAGCCUGUCAUUGUCUGAACUCAUCAUACUUCAAUUCCGCCAGCAUUCGCGGGCUUCAGCGAGCAUGCAGAAUUUAAGCGAAUGCCAAAAUGCUUUGCUCAUUGACAGCUGCGAAGUUGGGAGGAUCUAACUAUCCUCAUCUGGGGAAGGGAGCGAGGUACGUUUCAUCUCACCUGCUCCAUCUGUGGGACAGCAAGGGGCUCAUCCUUCUGUCCUUCUCCUUCCUGGCACCUAAAACACGGUGGGAUAGGCUAACUUCAGUGCAUCCUUUCAGCUAUGGGAGGGUUCAUGUCCACAGCUUAAUCAUCUCCUCCUUGCUAGCAGAGAAACUGAGGCUGAUUAACGCUCUUUGCAUGCAGGAUGCAAAUCUGAUGCAUCCAUGGACUUUGGUGAUGUUUGAAUGGAAGCUUUUGAUUGCCCACGGAAAUAAGUUUAAGUAUUGUUGGAUAAACAAAAUGCAUACUUUUUAAUGGUGCUUCGCUCCCUCGCUGGAGCGUGCCCAGAGAAGGGCAACAGAGUGGUGAUGGUCUGCAGCACAAGUCUUAUGGGGAGCAGCUGAGGGAACUGGUGUUGUUCAGCAUGGAGGAAGACCAGGGGAAACCUCGUUGCUCUCUACAGCUCCCUGAUGGGAAGCUGUGGUGAGGAGGCAGUAGCAGCAAUUGUAUGAGAGGUGAUGGCCUCAGGUAGCACCAGGGAAGGUUCGGGUUGGAUACCGGGAAGCAUUUCUUCUCAACAAGAGCAGUGAUGCAGUGGCACAGCUGCCCAGGGAGGUGGCGGGGGACCCUGGGGCUGUUCCGUAACCGUGGGGAUGUGGCACUGAGGGAUGUGGGCAUGGUGGGAUGGGCUGGGGUUGGACUGGGUGGUCUUUCAAGUCUUUGCAAGCGGAACGGUUGUGUGGUUCCUUCACAGGGCAGGUGCUUAGAUAGCUUUCCUUUAACGAGGAGAGAUGCAGCGGGGAUUUCAGCUGUAGCAGGCACGACUCUGACACCCUCUCACUUUUCCUUGGCGUUACUUUUUCUCCGCUUUGCGAGGGAGCAGAGGUGAGAUUCCCUGCGUGCUGCUGACCGAGGCUCUCUCCACUUGACCCAGCCCGGUGUACGCUGGAGGCAUAAGAACAGCCGGGCGAGCCCCCCGAGCUGUCCCGGGCCGGGGGCGGGCGGCGGGGCCGGGCAGGGCCGCCCUCCGGAGGCGGUCUCCCGUUGCCGCUAUAAGGGCCGACGGCGGCG